GCAGGAGAGUACAGCUUGAUAGCAUCUACUCUCUGGUCUGUACUCACUGAGCCAUCACUCCGUCCUGUUCUGCGGCUCGUGCUGAUGGCACGGAUCUCGGUGGCUGCUGUGCCAUUGCCUGGCCAGGGCAUCCUGUCCUGGCAUCACAGAGACCAUAUCUGCACCUGGCUUGGCCCAGGGUAUGGCACAGAAGUGUUUAGCAGCCCUGAGCUAUCCUUCUCACUUUCUUUGGCCUGCACGUUUUCUGGCUGAUGCCCAGUGUAAUGAAUGCAGAGUUCUAGG
rnacentral:lncRNA from 1 species